rnacentral:rRNA from 1 species
UACGUAGGGUGCGAGCGUUAAUCGGAUUUACUGGGCGUAAAGCGAGCGCAGGCGGUUCUUUAAGUCUGAAGUUAAAGGCAGUGGCUUAACCAUUGUACGCUUUGGAAACUGGAGGACUUGAGUGCAGAAGGGGAGAGUGGAAUUCCAUGUGUAGCGGUGAAAUGCGUAGAUAUAUGGAGGAACACCGGUGGCGAAAGCGGCUCUCUGGUCUGUAACUGACGCUGAGGCUCGAAAGCGUGGGGAGCAAACAGG